UUUGUAUCCCGUAUGUAUUUAAUAACGUUUUAUAUAAUAUAUAUAUAUAUAUAUAUAUUCCAUUUACAUACAGGAAUCAACAGUAUGGAGGCGCAUAACUGCAGGCCCCAAGAAAUUUUACAGGAUUAUAUACGCAUGGCCAAAUCACAAGUUUCACUCGAAAGAGGGAGGAACAAAUCCCAGAAGAAAUUUCGAGCCAAUGCGGACGUGCCGAGCAUCACCAGCCGUGAACAGUACCUCACACAGCCAAGGGGCCCACGACCCAGAGACUACUUCUUACGAGUCCUGCCACUUCGUCUCCACUACCACCUACCAAUUACUCUCUUGUGCAGCCAACUAAGAGGAUGCAGGUACCAAACAUUGACCAUUAAUGACAUUUUUUCCCCUGCUUUAAUUUCUUUGCGGAUUCUGAUAACCUCGUCCCUUUCUUGCCCUGCAAAGAAGGUAACGAUCAAGGACCACCAAGAUCAGAAAGGCAUUCAGAUUGAUUAGUCCUGAGUGCAUUUCAGACAAGUAGUUAGUGAGACAUGCUCAUGCACAGAAGGUGAACUUACACAGAAGAGAAGCGACAGAUACCCUGCUGAAGAACUCUUGAGCGGAAGGAGGGAGGAACAGGAUGCUGCAGCGGGCGGCGAGCAAUGCCUACUCAUGGUGGUGGGCGAGCCAUGUCCGCACCAAGCAGUCCAAAUGGCUCGACAACAACCUCAAAGGUUUGGCUUUCUUGAACACACCAUCCAAUCCAUUUACAUACAAGCUUAACACAUUAAGUCAUUAACACCUGGGUCCGAUUGCUUUGUUUUUCAUUUUAGCAAGUCAAUGCAUGCUGAUUCAUAAGCAACAUUACCUUCAUCGUAGUGUUACGAUGUGACCAAGGAGAAAAUGAUUUAUCUGAACAGUUUCAUUUCUUGGUCCGAACUUGCAUAGUUACCUGCAAAAGAGCAUCUGGUCUAUAGUAAAUACACAUAUCCUAUUCCAGAUGAUUAUGUAAUUCAUGAAUGUAUCAGCUAAGCAUAGGUAUAUAGUCGCAUGCCAAAAAGAAGUAUAACGAUGUCUGCACUCUGGGCACUCAGAGCAAGAAAUACUAUGCAUUUCAUGCUAGUUUGGUUGGUGUCAUCUUAGUAGUGAUGUAUGCUACAGUUCUUCACAGUCAGAACGUGGUACAUCAUUCUGUGCAAUAGAUAGUCACAAACUUCAAGGCAGUUAAGUCCAUAAAAAGAACUGAAACCUCUGUUACAAAUCAACUCCCUAACAUUUACAAUUGCUUUGAACUCUACAUAUUAUUUUCUACAUUGAGUAUAAUGAAACAUCCUUCAAGAUGUAUUUGUGCAAUCCUGACAAUUUGGAAAAUGAUUUUUUAGCAUUUCUUUCCAAACAGCCAGCAUCUCCUUAUGUUUGUCUAUGUGCAGAUAUGGAAGAUAGGGUCAAGUGUAUUCUCUUCCUCCUUGGGGAGGAAGCUGAUUCCUUUGCCAAGAGGGCAGAAAUGUAUUACAAGCGACGACCAGAGGUGAUCAGUUCAGUGGAAGAAGCAUACCGGGCAUACAGGGCCCUUGCUGAACGCUAUGACCAUAUGUCAGGGGAGUUACACAAAGCAAACCAUACAAUUGCAUCUACCUUCCCUGAUCAGAUUCAGUAUUCAUUGCUAGAAGAGGAUGAUGACAAUCUCCCAAAAGCUUAUACCAAGGUCGAUCCUCGCAAAAUUCACAAGUCAACAGUGGAGGGACUAAUGAAGAAGAAGCAUAGAGAGAAAUCAAGACCAAAAGAUGGAGGAAAGAAGUCUGCAGUUCCAAUGAACAAGGAUAAUGCACAAGCUGAGAUCAGCAGGCUACAGAAAGAGAUAUUAGUCCUGCAGACGGAGAAAGAGUUCAUCAAAAGCUCUUACGAGAGUGGAAUUGCAAAAUACUGGGAUCUUGAGAAACAAAUUAACGAAAUGCAGGAAGAAGUUUGCUACUUCCAAGACGAGUUCAAUGAAAGUGCAGUGAUAGAGGAUGAUGAGGCCAGGGCUUUGAUGACAGCAACUGCUCUUAAAUCUUGUGAAGACGCCAUUAUCAAAAUGCAGGAGCAACAGAAGUCAUUUUUCAGCCAAGCAAUGAUUGAGUCCGCAAGAGUUAAGGUUUCUAGGGAGAAGCUGAAGGGUAUCAUGAGAGUACAUGGUAAAUCUCUAUCAUAUUCAGGAAAUUCUGCAGAUGAGAAUGUUAAAACCGAUGCCGGUGCUAGGAGAGAUGAAUUGUUCUCCAUGAAGCAGGAGAAAUUUGAACUGCAAGAACUAGUAGAAAAGAUCAAGGGAUACUUUGAGAUGGACUCUGAUCUUUCUGUGGUAGAGAUUGCAGAGAAAAUUGAUGAACUAGUUAACAAAGUUGUUGAUUUGGAGCUCAUGAUUUCAACACAGACUGCACAGAUAAAUAGGCUGUGUCUAGAAAACAAUGAGCUGGAGAAGUCAUUGCAGAAAUUGGAGGAAGAGGAGACAGAACAAAAUGACUCAGUGAAUUAAAUGAGAGGCUCAAGGAGGCAGAAAAGGAGCUUAUUAGAGUGCAUAACCUUGAGAGAUCCUACCAUGCAGAAGAAAGAAUAGUCUGUGCAAAUUUCACCGAAACAAUAAAUAGUUUCUGUGACAUUUCACAUAUGCUGCAAUCACCUCUCAUUGAGCACCCAGUUGUUUCAAGAUGCAUGCUGACUGAUGAAGCAACACCAUCCACUGACACUGAACAAUCAGGUGAGCAUAGCAAAACAAGCCCAUUAGAAGAUCCUGAGAUGGAUGAAGCUGCAAGGAAGCCACAAGUAGAUGGAUUUCUUGAUCAUCCAGAUACACCAGAGCCAGCUAUCUUCAGCGAUGACAGUAAGUCAUCUAGUGGCUACCAUGAGAGUAAAGCAGAAAAGCAUUGUCACGUAGAUAAAAUACAGGACUUAAGCUGUUGUGAGUUUGAAGAUAAGUUAAUUGAAGCCGCAUCAGUACCAGUGGAUGUGGGAACAACAGAAACUGCAGAUCAGACUUCAUCUGAUGAUAAUAACAAUGGAGAAUCAGAUCAUGUUCUCGAAAUCACUAGUAACACUGGAAGCAGUGUGCAACAAGAUAUUGUGCACUGCCAUGAGAGCGAUUCAUUAGAAGACGUGCAUCAGAUUUCCUCCAAUAGUCAAGGAGAAAAUUUGAAACAAGAGGACAAUAUGAUAUAUAACUCAACACCAUGUAACAGCAUCUUUGAAGGCAGCUCAGAACAGAAGAUAGAGAUGAACAAAGAAGAAGCUUCAUAUAUCAUCAAAAAUCCAAUUCCUACAAAUGGGAAAGUUGCUGGUGUUGGAGAUCAAGAGGAUAGCAUGAUUAAUCUACAGCAGUUGCUUAUGAAUGGACUCCAAGAUAAGGAAAAGGUACUAUUGGCCGAAUACACUUCCAUCCUCCGAAACUAUAAGAAUGCAAAGCGAAAGCUUACAGAAGCAGAGACAAUGAACCAGGAAUGCUUGAAUGAGAUGAGAGCCACGAUAAGUGAACUAGAGUGUGCCAAUGGAAUGAAGGAUGCAGAGAUUCGGUCACUCCAUGAGCUCUUGAAAUCUUUAACUUACAAAGAUGCAUUGCAAAGUGGUCAUCAAUUGAAUUCAACCAUGUCCCUAAGUGAGAAGAAUGGAAUGAUUAGGGGUCACCGAAGGACUCCAAGUUUUUUGUCAGUUCAUCAGAGGGCACAAAGUGUUUCCUCUAUUCCCAGUAGAAUAAUAAAUAGUUCUAGCCUGAAAAAUAAACCAAGUAUUGAUGCAUCACAUGAUGCUGUUACAAAUCAGAAAAGCAUUAUUCAGGAGGAGCCCACAUCAACAAAUGUAGUUGAGAUGGAUAAAGCAUCACCUCUUGAAAAAAAGUUCAGAAGAGACAUUGAUACGCUUCUGGAGGAGAACCUAGCAUUCUUGAUGAAGUUCAGCAUGUUAUUCCAACAGAUACAAGGAUUUCAGACCAAGUAUGAUCAACUACAAGCUGAGAUUAGUAAGCUAAAGCCAAACAAGGAUCAUACCAAUGAUCAACCUGCAAAAUUGGAAAUGGAAGCAACAGAAAAGAGGCUAAGAGAACUCAAGAUUGAACUGCAAGUAUGGUUGGAACAGAAUGCAAUGUUCAAAGGGGAACUCCAGUGUAAGUUUGAUUCCCUAUGCAGCAUACAAGCGGAGAUUGAAGGAACCAUGGAGAUGGAUGCAGACACCGUGGACAGAGCUAGAUUCACUUCAUAUCAUGUUGCAAAAUUUCAGGGGGAGAUUUUGAACAUGAAGCAGGAGAACAACAAAGUUGCUGAUGAACUGCAGGCUGGUUUGGAUCAUGUGAAAGGGCUACAAAAAGAAAUUGAAAAGGAUUUGGCAAAGAUACUGAGCACCAGCUUAUCUGGGCCCAAAUCUAGCACCACCUGGAGGAAUGCACCCUCUAAAUCAAGAGUACCGCUCCGGAUGUUCCUCUUUCCAGCCAAGAAAAAGAAACCAUCGCUGUUUGCAUGUGUAAAUCCAACGCUUCUUUCAAAGCAGAAUAGCGACAUGGCAUUCUUCACUAAAAUGAGCUAGGUAUGUAUGCCAAUUUGUCCAAAUGCCUCAAAUUUCACCUAUAUUAGUAUGUGAUUUGGCUUAACAUAUUAUUGUUAUGAUCAGGUCUUCCAGAUGGAACGAAAGUCAUCAUCAAGCCAGCAAAGUAGCAAGCAGAACUUUAAAUUAGUAAUAUUAGGUUUUGUCCUGAUGCCAGAAUGCUAUGUUCGGCUUAUGUUAAGGUUCUUGCAAUGCACUCACUGGGAUCAAUUAGCGUUUGCUAACCAGUUGAGUCUAUUCAAGGGGGAUAUGAAUACUCUGUACCUUUUGACAUCUAUAGCUUGUGAAAUAAUUUAGAAAAUAGAAAAAUUUAAUUUCCAUAGCAGUAAUGUGCGCUGAACUAAAUUUAAUUGGCAGUGUAUCGCAUGACAAAUUUCACUUGUGUCAUUCAUUAAGGGUCAAAAUACGUGCACUGUGGCAGCAGGUGGUAAAUGGUAAGUACCUUGUAAUUUGAGGCCGCGAACGGUUGAUCACAGAAUUGGGUGAGGGGCGAAUGGAAGUACUUCACACUGAACAACACAGCCGAAUUCAGGCUUAUUGCAUGGCACAAGCAGACUCAGCAAAGUACAAGAAGACAGAAGAGAAGACAACAAGCUCAGUCAUACAAAAUGGUGCAAGCAACACGGAGGUUUUGAAGCUGGUAGGAAAGCACGCACCAGAGCGAAAGACCCUGAAGGCUGUGUCAAAUUGGCGCCGCAUUCCAUCGAACAGGUCCCUGGCACCUCGGCCUCAAGCGCGCCGUGGCUAAGCGAGAUCCAGGGGAAUAGUGGAUCGCCUGCCCAGGCCAGAGGCAGCCCCUGCAACAUUCCCAAUUUGAGUGCUCGCCGUCUUCUCGCUCAGUUGGAACCGCUAGUGUGGUUGACGUGGCGGGAUGGCUAACGGCGGACGGCGGUGGGGGAGACAGAAAAGCCAGGCCAUCAGCACAUACAGGCGGGCUAACAUGCCAGAUCAUCCUUCACCGCGCGAGGCCAGGUAUGAACGGCUGAUCGACGAGCGCGCCGGCCGCCGGGAGGCGGAGGACGGGCGGCGGCGAACGGAGGAGCGAGAGAGGCCAGCCAUCUGCCCGGAUACAUGAGGACUAAUAUGUAAAAAACCGGACCCAACCAGGGGGUAAUGUGAAAACU
rnacentral:lncRNA from 1 species